AGUUCGGGCGGGGAUUAGUGGCGAACGGGUGAGUAACACGUGGGCAAUCUGCCCUGCACUCUGGGACAAGCCCUGGAAACGGGGUCUAAUACCGGAUAUGACCGUCUGCCGCAUGGUGGAUGGUGUAAAGCUCCGGCGGUGCAGGAUGAGCCCGCGGCCUAUCAGCUUGUUGGUGAGGUAGUGGCUCACCAAGGCGACGACGGGUAGCCGGCCUGAGAGGGCGACCGGCCACACUGGGACUGAGACACGGCCCAGACUCCUACGGGAGGCAGCAGUGGGGAAUAUUGCACAAUGGGCGAAAGCCUGAUGCAGCGACGCCGCGUGAGGGAUGACGGCCUUCGGGUUGUAAACCUCUUUCAGCAGGGAAGAAGCGAAAGUGACGGUACCUGCAGAAGAAGCGCCGGCUAACUACGUGCCAGCAGCCGCGGUAAUACGUAGGGCGCAAGCGUUGUCCGGAAUUAUUGGGCGUAAAGAGCUCGUAGGCGGCUUGUCACGUCGGUUGUGAAAGCCCGGGGCUUAACCCCGGGUCUGCAGUCGAUACGGGCAGGCUAGAGUUCGGU
rnacentral:rRNA from 1 species